CGGAGUCUAGCAUGUACGCGAGUCAUUGGGAUUAAACCUAAAGGCGCAAUGAAAGUAAAAGUUUGUCUUGCACAUCUUAGGGAAGAUGGGAGAUUGCCCCGCACUCCCGGGGCGUCUCAUUCUCAUUGCGAGAAGAGGCGCACCUAGAGCGUACACGCUGGGACCCGAAAGAUGGUGAACUAUGCCUGGUCAGGACGAAGUCAGGGGAAACCCUGAUGGAGGUCCGUAGCGAUUCUGACGUGCAAAUCGAUCGUCGGAACUGGGUAUAGGGGCGAAAGACUAAUCGAACCAUCUAGUAGCUGGUUCCCUCCGAAGUUUCCCUCAGGAUAGCUGGCGCUCGUUGCAUACGAGUUUCAUCCGGUAAAGCGAAUGAUUAGAGGCCUUGGGAUCGAAACGAUCUCAACCUAUUCUCAAACUUUAAAUGGGUGAGAUCUUCGGCUUGCUUGACUCGAAUCAGAGUGCCAAGUGGGCCAUUUUUGGUAAGCAGAACUGGCGCUGUGGGAUGAACCAAACGCAGAGUUAAAGCGCCUAAAUCAACGCUUAUGGGAUACCAUGAAAGGCGUUGGUAACUUAAGACAUCAGGACGGUGGCCAUGGAAGUC
rnacentral:rRNA from 1 species